CUUUAACUUGGUUUUAUUCCUUGGGAGGUUCAGUCGGUUCUUCCCUCAGUAAGCAGCGGCUGCCUGGGUUGCCAUGGUCCUUCUGACUCCAGCCAGGGGCCAGGAGGCUCUCUCCCGUCUGGGGCCAGCUGCAAGCCCUGGCAUGAGCAAGUCACUCAGCAUUUCCGCCAUCAACUUGUUCAUAAAUUAGUCCAAGCCAUAUUUCCUACUCCUGACCCUGCAGCACUGAAGGAUCGACGGAUGGAGAAUCUGGUGGCAUAUGCUCGGAAGGUGGAAGGUGACAUGUAUGAAUCGGCAAAUAGCAGGGAUGAGUACUUUCACCUGCUAGCUGAGAAGAUCUGUAAGAUUCAGAAGGAGUUGGAGGAAAAGCAAAGAACCAGGCUGCAGAAGCAAAACAUGAUACCAAAUGCACCAGGCAUGCCACAGGCUCCCAUGAAUCAAGGGCCCAACAUGGGACAGCCUCAGCCAGGAAUGUCUGCAACCCUGGAGGGUUGUUUGGGAAACCCGAACCUGGAGGACCCCGCACAUUACUAAAAUUUGCCAAUCAAGUUGCAUGCAGUAGGCUCUGCAAGCUCAUCACCACUGUACCUCUGUA